UGGUGACGUUCCUCUCACUGGCACUGGGAUUUUAGGUCAUCAUAAAUUAAAGUUUAUUUUCUUCACUCACAGAAUGUUAGAUAAUGGGAUUAUCUGUUUAUUCUCUGAUAUUUGCAGAAUCAGACACUU